rnacentral:rRNA from 1 species
UACGUAGGGUGCGAGCGUUAAUCGGAUUUACUGGGCGUAAAGCGCGUGUAGGCGGCAGGGCAAGUCUGGUGUGAAAGCCCGGGGCUCAACCCCGGAAGUGCAUUGGAAACUGCUCUGCUUGAGUACCGGAGAGGAAGGGGGAAUUCCCGGUGUAGCGGUGAAAUGCGUAGAUAUCGGGAGGAAUACCAGUGGCGAAGGCGCCCUUCUGGACGGUUACUGACGCUGAGACGCGAAAGCGUGGGGAGCAAACCGG